rnacentral:piRNA from 1 species
UUGCAUUUGUAUGUGGCUGGGCUGCAGUAGA